GAUUAAGUUAUUAAGGGCGCACGGUGGAUGCCUUGGCACUAGAAGCCGAUGAAGGACGUUACUAACGACGAUAUGCUUUGGGGAGCUGUAAGUAAGCUUUGAUCCAGAGAUUUCCGAAUGGGGAAACCCAGCAUGAGUUAUGUCAUGUUAUCGAUAUGUGAAUACAUAGCAUAUCAGAAGGCACACCCGGAGAACUGAAACAUCUUAGUACCCGGAGGAAGAAAAAGAAAAUUCGAUUCCCUUAGUAGCGGCGAGCGAAACGGGAAGAGCCCAAACCAACAAGCUUGCUUGUUGGGGUUGUAGGACACUCUAUACGGAGUUACAAAGGACGACAUUAGACGAAUCAUCUGGAAAGAUGAAUCAAAGAAGGUAAUAAUCCUGUAGUCGAAAAUGUUGUCUCUCUUGAGUGGAUCCUGAGUACGACGGA
rnacentral:rRNA from 1 species